rnacentral:tRNA from 1 species
CUCCAAGGAGCUUACCCAAGCACCGGCCUUUUAAGCCGGGGACGGGCCCCAUCCGGCCCCUUAGAGC